rnacentral:tRNA from 1 species
GUCCCUGUAGCUUACAAAAAGCAUGACACUGAAGAUGUCAAGAUGGCUGCCUCUCCGCACCCAGGGACA